AGCUGGCCGCCGCCGGGUGCUGCCCUCCUGGGGCCUGGGCGCGCCGCGCCCGAGCGCAGAACUAAGGGCGGCUUCGCGGCCCUGGGACGCCUAGGUUCAGAGCUCCCGGGGCUGCCGGGGAGCUGAGCCCCGGCAGAGCAACAGGGAAAGCCGAGGAUCCCAGUCCGCGACUGAGCCGGGUCCCCGUCGUCCGCCGCCACUGCUGGUCAGAAUUCAGGUGGCCGGUCCUACUGCUCUGAGAUCUCGACCUGGGGAGGUCACUGGAGCUAGGGUCCCGCAGGGACCUUUCUACAACAGGAUAUGGGAACACCUGGGCCCGCUAGCACACAGGGGACCUCGUACUCUAGCUUUCAACCCGAGGGCCUCGCUCCUAGACUGAAGUGGAUCCCCCAUCAAGACCUGUAGUGUGCCACCUCUGUCCCGUCCUGGUCAUAUAUGUGUGCUCACAGCCCUCGUUUGCCAUAAAACACCCUUCCUGGUGCUCCAGGGAUUAAGCUGUUAACUUUCCCUGACCUUGAACGCGAGUUUCUGAUGGGGCUUUGCUAAUCCCCGUGCUAUUUGUAACCUGCCCCGUGACACUUGACAAGUAUCCAACUGUGCUAAUUUCCACACCAGAGGUCAGUCAGACCGCGCUGUGAGAAGUGAGUCAAGCGUGCUCUGGACCCGAACACGGAGGCGCCCAGAGCUCUGGGGACUUUCCCACUCAUGCCUUUCCUCCCUAACUUCCUGUCUCCUUGAAAGCCCACCCAUUCUAACUCUAUAGUUGAGUUAGCUAAGAAGAGCAUUCAGCACCCAGAUUCCUCUGCGGAGUUCCUGCCUUAUACCUGCAGCCCAUGGCUCCCUGCUGUGUGUCUCCAGCUCCCUGGAGAAGGUUGGGGUCAUAAGUGGGUGGGGAUCUAGCAAUCCUGUUGAUUCAGUGAAGGAACUGAAGCCCAGAGGUGAACUGGCCACUGCAUCUGCUUGCUCGGGGGCAAGCAGCCAGAUGUGCUGAAACCUCAUCGUUCUUCCCUGAGCUCGCCUGUCACCCAGAGAACCCACACGCCGUGAACUUGGAGAAUGCUUUUAUUACAUGGUCUUGUGAUGCCAGGGAGGGACCUGAACAGAUCAAUAAAAGAACUAUCCCAAGGAC